CGCCACCACCCAUGCUGGCCACUUCCGGCGAGCUCCGGCGACGCGCAGCACGCUCCCGAGCUCCCCACGGUCCGCGCCUCCCUCCCCUCCGGACAGAUUCUCCGCUUCCGGCCUCUACCGCCCGCUCGCAACCCCACCCCCGUGGCUAGGGUUUCGGCCAAGGCUUCGCUGGCGCAUCUCCGGCGGCCCCAGAUGCAGAUGUAGCACCCCAUGGGAGUUCCCCAUCCACCACGGUGGCAGAUUCUUCAUGGAGAUGUGAUGCAAAAGAAGCACAAUAGUUCAGUGAUGAUUAGGGUGAUGAUGUUUAUGCAUCUAGGGAACCAUGGAGAUUUUAACAUGUGAUAUUUCCUCAAGCAAACUAAGUUCUUUUGCAAUUUGCUGCUCAAGUUGUGGCUCUCCUGCAGGGCAAAUCUUCCCAACAAGAAGCAUAACAGAGGCCUCUCUUUCAAUGUCUGAAGAUUGGGUAUCUAAUAACUGGCCAUCAGAGGGAGAAAUUCAGCUCCAUAACCUCCAUGUGUUGAUCUUCUUGUACUGGAAGAACUAUUUGGAGGAGAUUGCGAGAGUACUGACCUGCAGUUUGUCUUCUUGGUGUGACUGUAGUUUCCUGAUUGUGUAGCUAUUCUGUCCCCUUCUUCCUCCAUCCUCUUUCUCGUUCUUAUCUGAUCAUAAAGCACACAUUGUUACUGGUUGUUUCUCCUUAUUUUUACGGAAGUUCCAGUA